AUGGUGAUUGUGAUUGCCUUAUCAACCCAGAGACAGCUGUUGCCUGGUGGGUAUUAUAUUUCAAAUGAGAUUGCCAAUUGAGUGUCAUCGAUGAUUAUCAGGGGUCGAUGAUGACCAAGGGUCAAUCACACCAAGGCACUACUAGAUAGAGACACAUCGAGCCAAGAUUUGUCCAUUGAUGCGAAGCUGGUCAGCCAAAU
rnacentral:lncRNA from 1 species